CCGUUUUGUGCAGUGGAAGGGAUAACGAGCCAGCCAGUGUCAUACACGUCCAGCGAAUGUUUGAUGGGCUGCUCUAAUUAAACCACCACAUUCAUUUUUGGGCUUGAUUCCUAAAGUGGGGUGGACAGCGUGAGGCUGGUUUCACGAGCAACGAAUAGCUUCCGUUUUGUGCAGUGGAAGG
rnacentral:SRP_RNA from 1 species